rnacentral:lncRNA from 12 species
GCAAUGGCAGACUGAGGCAAAUGAAAUUAAACCAGUUGGGUGAAUUAGCUCAGCGAGGGACGGUUCACAGGAGAGUCUUUAUCUACUCUUUCCACAGACUGUGUGUGCAUAAUUACAGUCACAGAACCAAAGAUACUCAACUGGAGGACAUGAGAAGAGAGAUGAGGGUGUGCAUUUA